CUGCAUUAGCAGUCUAAAGGGCCAUGAUGAAAGGGGGGGAAGAAAAGAGAAUGAAAAGGGUAAGAAAAUGUGUUAUUAUAAUGAAUGAAGAAAAAACAUGCACAAUAAAAAAAAAAAACACUGGAUUUUGCAAUGGAGACAGACAACGGGCAUGGAGGUUUGAUGGUUUAAUAGCGGCGGAGGAGAGUGCGAGCGACGGAAGAAGGCAUAGGAUCUUACCAUGUUAGCCCGGCGCUGGCGGUGGCGGCGGGGACGACUAAGGAUGACUUGGUGGUUCCAGUAUGUCAUGACCAGCUUGUUAGAAUGGCAGCCGUGCACAAGACGGCCAGGAGAGGAAAAGGGCUCCUGAAGGUGGUCCGGUGGUCUCAGGGCUGUAGCGCGUCCCGUUGUGGAAGCAGUCGCCAUCUUUGUCCCGUUGUUUGUCUUGGAUAUCCUCUUCUGCCUCUUCAUCCCCUCCCUGGUGCCUUUGAUCAUGCCACCCCUCCCUUGCUCUCUGCCGUAUGACAUCAUCACGCAGCGGUAUCGACAAUCAUCAAAGAAAGUCCCCGCGUGAGACUGUAUGUCCAUCUGGGCGUACACGUAUGAGGAAAAAAGAAACAACUCCAGACUUGGUCCAUCACACAACGACUCCAUCGCAGAGACCCUCAUUCGUGCAUUCAUCAACUCCCACCUUGAAUACUGUAAUGGAGCCCUAUUUUAAGGCUCCGAACCAAGCCCUAGAUAUGAGCUCCAGUACUUCCAGAAGUCUGCUGCAUGAUUUCCUAUCCACACUAAAACCUGGUAGCACAUCAGCCCCAACCUUAUCCACUGGCAGCCAGUCAAGCCCUGUUUCACCUGGUCAAGGUCCUCUGCCUCACCUGUAUACAAGUCCCUUCAUGCCCUUGCCUCCCAGUACCUAUUUACCCCCUCCCGAAGUCUGUUCUUCUGGCACUGGACAGCUCACCAGCCCUCCCACCAGCUUGUGUCUUUGGCGGACAGAGCUUUCAGGGUGGCUGCUGCCACCAACCUCUGGAACUCCCUUCCUCGAGAGAUCCAAAAUUCUGGGUCCACCAACCCUGUACGAGUGGGUCCACUAAACGCUGUUAAGUGGACCAAGCCUAAAGACCCAUCUUUUUGGUCUCAAUUAUGUUAAUUCUGUUUUAAUUGUUUAACCCUAUAUGUACAAUGCCCUGGGUGUCCUGAAAGGCACUAUAUUAAUAUGUUUUAUGAUUUGCCAUCUUUUUAUUAUUCAUUCACUUCCAUAGUUCAUAAAAACAUAUGCAAUCAUUGAUAUUCAAAUGACAACCUCCUACUUACUACAAUAAGUAUUAUUGUAAUUUCAGAAACAUGAAUAUAUAGUUAUUUUCAGAAAAAACUCCCUUUACUGCCCACAAAUCUUGGUGACACUCUAAAUAUGCUGAAUCCAGUAAUUGUUUAUUCGCUCUGCUGGGGAAAAUAUAAAUAUUUACAAUCAACAUGAGCUAGCCUGGUUCAACCUGUAGAGCUGAAUAGGUUGCAGAAAUAACGGCAAACUGGCUGUGCAGCAUUGAUAAGCAUUUCUCAUUAAACCAAAACCAUCUGCCAUUCACACAAUGACAUACCCUGCAAAUGAGCAAUAGAAGCUCACUCUGAGUGAAGCAAAAAUGCAGGCACACACACACACACACACACACACACACACACACACACACACACACACACACACACACACACACACAUACAUGCAAACACACACACACAAAAUCACAAACAAGCACACUUAGUGACACACAGGGACACACACACACACUUGCAGUCUAAAUAUAUGUUAUUUUUUCAACUAAACUGGGACAGAUCACUAGAUAAUAUUAUAUAAUUGGAAUUAUUUAGACAUGCCCUUGGUGACAUAAGCCCCACAUUUCACCUCAGAAAGAGAGAGAGAGAGAGAGAGGAGAAUUCCUCAUGGCUGAGGUGAGAUUACAGUCUGGGUGACAGAAGACAAAUGAGCCCCUAGAGAGCCUCAUAAAGGUCAGGUAUGGAACCAGACGGAUGGCUGUUAAUCCUGACCCCAGGGAGCCACUGCACAUCCGCCCGGGAAUGCAAGUGUUACACAUGGCUGUGACAUUUAACCUGUAUGAGCUGACAAUUGUAGGUGCCAAAAAUGUACACAUUUCUCUAGGCCUGUAGUCAGACAAAAUGUCGGCUCCAUUUCUCACAGGAGCAAUUAUACGAGUGGAG
ensembl:lncRNA